rnacentral:rRNA from 1 species
AUUAGAGUUUGAUCCUGGCUCAGGACGAACGCUGGCGGCGUGCCUAAUACAUGCAAGUCGAGCGAAUCUGAGGGAGCUUGCUCCCAAAGAUUAGCGGCGGACGGGUGAGUAACACGUGGGCAACCUGCCUGUAAGACUGGGAUAACUUCGGGAAACCGGAGCUAAUACCGGAUAAUCCCUUUCCUCACAUGAGGAAAGGCUGAAAGACGGUUUCGGCUGUCACUUACAGAUGGGCCCGCGGCGCAUUAGCUAGUUGGUGAGGUAACGGCUCACCAAGGCCACGAUGCGUAGCCGACCUGAGAGGGUGAUCGGCCACACUGGGACUGAGACACGGCCCAGACUCCUACGGGAGGCAGCAGUAGGGAAUCUUCCGCAAUGGACGAAAGUCUGACGGAGCAACGCCGCGUGAGUGAUGAAGGUUUUCGGAUCGUAAAACUCUGUUGUUAGGGAAGAACAAGUAUCGGAGUAACUGCCGGUACCUUGACGGUACCUAACCAGAAAGCCACGGCUAACUACGUGCCAGCAGCCGCGGUAAUACGUAGGUGGCAAGCGUUGUCCGGAAUUAUUGGGCGUAAAGCGCGCGCAGGUGGUUCCUUAAGUCUGAUGUGAAAGCCCACGGCUCAACCGUGGAGGGUCAUUGGAAACUGGGGAACUUGAGUGCAGAAGAGGAAAGUGGAAUUCCAAGUGUAGCGGUGAAAUGCGUAGAGAUUUGGAGGAACACCAGUGGCGAAGGCGACUUUCUGGUCUGUAACUGACACUGAGGCGCGAAAGCGUGGGGAGCGAACAGGAUUAGAUACCCUGGUAGUCCACGCCGUAAACGAUGAGUGCUAAGUGUUAGAGGGUUUCCGCCCUUUAGUGCUGCAGCAAACGCAUUAAGCACUCCGCCUGGGGAGUACGACCGCAAGGUUGAAACUCAA